GAUGAACGCUGGCGGCGUGCUUAACACAUGCAAGUCGAACGAUGAAGCCCAGCUUGCUGGGUGGAUUAGUGGCGAACGGGUGAGUAACACGUGAGUAACCUGCCCUUAACUCUGGGAUAAGCCUGGGAAACUGGGUCUAAUACCGGAUAGGAGCGUCCAUCGCAUGGAGGGUGUUGGAAAGCUUUAUCGGUUAUGGAUGGACUCGCGGCCUAUCAGCCUGUUGGUGAGGUAAUGGCUCACCAAGGCGACGACGGGUAGCCGGCCUGAGAGGGUGACCGGCCACGCUGGGACUGAUACGCGUCCCAGACUCCUACGGGAGGCAGCAGUGAGGGAUAUUGCACAAUGGGCGCAAGCCUGAUGCAGCGACGCCGCGUGAGGGAUGACGGCCUUCGGGUUGUAGACCUCUUUCAGUAGGGAAGAAGCGAAAGUGACGGUACCUGCAGAAGAAGCACCGGCUAACUACGUG
rnacentral:rRNA from 1 species